GUUGGUUGUUACCUGAAGACUCCUAAAUACCCAAUUUGGUUGGUAUGCAGCGAAAGCCACUUCAGUGUGCUUUUUUGUCUGGAAAAGGAUUUACAAGGCGACUGGAAAACUGAGCGGAAGUUUGACCUCUAUUAUUAUGAUGGCUUGGCCAACCAAGAAGAAGAAAUACGACUAACAGUUGACACGACUCAGAUGUGCACUGAAGAUAAUGAUCUUACUCCUCCACUUGAGCACUGCAUCAGGACAAAGUGGCAAGGAGCUGUUAUUGACUGGAAUGGCACAGAACCAAUCUUGUGACUGACCCGACCUGCACUUUAUUUGCAAAGAAAAAAAAGGAAAUGACAGAAUUAGCACAUUCCUAUUCCCACCAAUACAGGAAAUAGGACAGGAGUCCUGUGCUGCUUAUGGUGAGAAAGAAUGACAUGGCUGUGUGCAAGCUGAUGGAGCGUCACCUUGUUCGCCUCAUGCUUUGGAUAUUUUGCUUAUAAUGCAAACAACACUUAGAUAAAUUCUUUGUUGAUGCCUUUAAUGUACAGUUUCAAUGUGUAGGCUGAGAGUCUCCAAUGUCAAGUGAUGGUUAUGGAUAAAGCAAUGGAGUUGUCUGUGUCCCCUCGAGGUCCCUUUCUGGAUCAACUCUGUAUUCUGCAAUUGUUCCCAAAAAUCUGAUGAAAGGAGCUGAGCUGCUAUUUCUGUCCCUGUUUUGCCUUCCUGUACUGCCUCGUUCUUCACCUGCAACACUCCAGUGCCAGGAUGAAACAUCAUCCAAGAAAUAAAUAUUCACUUCAUUACCAUAUAUUACUAAGUCCAAAUCUAAGACUGAACCUACUGGUAGCCAUAUGGGCUAGAGUUUACUUACUAGGCUUUAUUUACACCAAAGUGGCCGAUAAGUGCUGUUGGAUUGGAAAUGUAAAGGGCACCUGUCUGUGAUAUAUACUGUUAUUCAUGAGUAAAUAAAGUGCGUGUGAGAAAAUGGUGUACAGUGGAGAUGUACCAUGAGGUACCAAAACAGCAGUUUGUGUUCUGAAAUGAAUUUUUUAAGUGACAUAUUUUGGCGAAAAUUUACCAAAAUUGGAAUGAGUUACUGUUCUGAAGAUUGGAAAAAAUGCUUUGGAAAAUAUUAAUUGCUAAUGGACAAUUUGCAGAGAAACGGUGUUUCUAGAAUUAUUUUUAUCUUUUGAGAGUGCAGUUAUCAUGGGAGCUUCAUAACAGACUUUUAAUUUCUGAUUUUAUCAUAGCAUUCUCUUACUGCUCACUAUGCAAACCUCUCCGAGCCCAAAUGAACCACUUGCUAUUUUCAAAAUCAAUUUCCACCAGAAAUUCAAUGUUCUACUCCAUGUAGCUGGAAGAUACCAAGCUGCCUCUGCAGAUACAAAUUUCAGGGCACUGGCACGUGAGCUAGAUUUGGAAACCAACCUGUGCAUGCUAGCAGAAAACAUGAGAUAGUCUGUGAAUGAGCAUCAGGCCCUGCUUUGCUUCCUGCACACAUCAAAGUGUCUACACGUGGUAAAACAUCUCAGAGCUGCGGUCGUUUUCAUUUUAUGUGAUGCAAUAUAAUGUAAUUUGUUUUAGGUCAGAUAGGCAAACUUCUUUCUGUGAACUUGGUGAGAUGUAUAUCUCCCUUUCAGCAUCACGGAGAGCAUCAGAUCUGAGUCCAGUGCCGAUUCCCCAUGUGACCUUUGCCAACUCCCUACAUUUCACUGUACGUAGGGGGAUGUUUGCACAGCCAGCUGCAGGUGGACUCAAGGCUGCCUUUAUGAUGCACACCUCAUCUGACCUUUAAGAGCUCCAUUUUCUGGAUCCCGAACAUUCAAAGAUCCCAGUGUGGCACGGCUUGGAGCAUGGAGUCAGCCAGGCCACCAGCUUGUAUUAAACACCUUUUUUCUUGAAUUUUCCUAUCAACUACAGUCCCCAUGUGCUCAAUGGAGCAAACAGUCCAAGAGGGCAGCAAGAUCAUAAAAUAAGAUUUCUCAAAAUGCAUUUGGACAGAAAAUAGUGAAGAGAUGAAAAACAAUGAAAGAUUUUUGGAACUAGGUGUACCAAAAAACCUCCUUUCUAGAAGUGUUCCUCUGGGAGGAAGGGAGCUGCUGUGUUACCGCCCUGAUUUCAUCUGGCUGGAAUAUGGAUGUCUCCAAUGCAGAUGUGUGAUGAGGAGCUCUUGCUCUGGGCUCCCUUCAGAGUAGGGUGUGAUUUAUCUUUUCUUAUGGACAAGAAGAAAUGUGCUCCUGACUGGAGGAUUAUAAACUGAGUAUAGAUGGAGCCCAAGGGGAUUGCCUCAGAUGAACUCCAUCCCUCAAGAUGUAAUAAUUUUUCAGGUUUUAAGAAAGAGUUGAAGAUUAAUGAAUAAGGCUUGGAGACUGAUAAUGUUUUAUGGUUUAUCUUGAAAGAUUAAUGAAGGUGGGAGGGAGCUCUGUACUCUGAUCCUCUUUUUAAAACAGGCUGCAAAGCCUUUAAGGCUCCGUUCUUACUGAUUAUGAAGAAUAGUUUUAUUGAACCUUAAAUUCUAUUAUAACAGAAUCCCAUUGGGCCAGAUCUUUCUUACUCAUUAUCUGUAAUUAUUUCUACACACGUUUUUAUGUAAAGUCCAUUGUCUGCCAUUUGUUUAAAAUUGAACUAACUCAAGAUUCACCUGUGCCAAGAAGUGUUGUACAACACUUGGGCCAUAUUCCUAAAGCAUUGCCUCUGCAGGGCAAUCCCACCAAGCUGGAGCACUGCAUUGCUAAACUGCUGCCACCAGUCUUGCUCUUGAGGUUUCCUGAGGCAUCCUUCAAUAAAGAGGGAACAGACAAUGAAAAUACUCACUUAGAUCUACCUCUUCAGCAGAGAACCAACCAACCGAACCUCUGUCUAUUUCUGCAUCAAGAAAACACACAUUUCAAUUUGAUGAUAAAACACAUGAAGCAAUUUGCCUUCAGGCAUCACAUAUCUUUUGGAAUCGAAUAAUCAGACAAACCAAUACAAAAUGUUAUGCAGCGACGCAAAAACCUUUGCACAGACCUGUGCAGAAGCAUAUCCUGUUGUAGGAGCCUACGUCUAGUUUGUUGAUUAUGUUUUCCUUCUCAUUGUUUCCCGAUUUCAUUUUCAUUGCCCGAUGAACGUGACUUCCUGAGGUGAACAAAGCAACUGUUUGCGAAUAGUGCAGUACAAGACACUGGCACUGGGCCUCUAUGUAUAUCUUAAAAUCAUUCUCUUCCCUUCUGUGCUAUGAAAAAUACACCCUCUCACCCUCCAUGACGCCUUAGCUUACAACAGACAUCAGCUAUUGUAAAUCUGAGCAGAAGUGCUAUUUUGGUAAAGUGUCAUUGAAUAUUGCCCCUUGUGCAAAAUGUACAGUUACCUUUGUUUUGUACAGAAUGUCUCCU